rnacentral:lncRNA from 10 species
AGCAAAGCCAGGUGGCGGCUGGAUCAGGCAGGUUCACGCUGUGGCUCCCCACAUGCGGGGCAUGAUUGGUUGAAUCAUUGGCAGUGUGAUCGAAUUCAGUCUCCAGCCCCCUGCUCCUUCCUGGGGGUCAGAGGUCAGAAGUCAGGCUGAUAUCCACAUUGCUCAAAGCCCCAACCCUCCAGUCACAUGGAUGGCUUUUGUGGCAUGUCCAGCCCCUAUCCUGAGUGAUAUCAUUAACAUAAAGUCAGGCAUGAUCUGAGGAUAUUAUUUCAUAGAAAUACAGCCUUCCACAAACGUUGGAACUGGUUAAAGAGUCUCUGUAAGACUGUAGUCCUUUCAUCUGGUACUGGAGCUUGAAGUCCAGAGGGCAGAGAGUUGGAAAGCGACAAUGGAUAUAAAGUGAGGAAGAUCAAGAAAAGACUGGAACCCACAGCAUGAACUAGAACCCAGCAGGACAAAUUGAAACUCAUGUCAGUUCAUAUUCCUUCUGGUGUUGAUAGUGGGGACCCAACCUCAUGGAACUAAACACACACACACCAGGCCCAGGAGUCAGGGAAGCUGAGGGAAAACCCAGUGGAAGGUAGAGCAGGCCCAGCUGCCGCUUCAUGCUGAUGAGGUGAGUCAGCAGAUCAGCAACAAUGUGUGUGAGCUACAAAAUGACUGCAGCUUCCCAUCUGCUUUCUGAAUCUCACAAGAAUCUCCCUCAUGGCCCACCAUAACCAGAAACAUACAAGAAACAAAAUUGUGGAAAACGUAGUUCAGCUUAGCCAAGUCAAUACAUUACAAGGCCACCACACCACACUUAAUAAAAAGUAAACAUUUGUAAAUCAAUCAACCAGUGCCUGGAAGUACUUAUUUAAGAGCCAAAUUAUUUCACAAAGUAAACUGAAACACACCUGGUGAAUCCCACCCACCACUGGAUACAUAUUUGCAUUGCCACCCAUUAUUCCUUCCCUCUUCUCCUGUAAGAGAAUACGAUCUCCUACCAAUUCUCCCUCCACCUUUUAUUCUCUCUCAGUAAUCAUGCUUCAUCAAUUAACUUCUGUCUCUGGCUGUUCUUUAUCUUCAGCUUCUUUUUUUUUAAGCUUCCCAUGAUUCUGUAAAUCCCUAUAGCAAAUAACUUUUUUUUCUCUUUUCCAUUACAGCCAAGUGUUGAGUACAAAAAGUCUAUUUAUGCUAUCGUUACUUCUAUAAUGUGAUUUUUCUGUAGUAUUUGAGAAUAUUCAAUUCUUCUGAAAUUAACAAGAGAAACAAACAAGUAGAACAAUAGGUGACACUCAUAAAACAUGUUGAGGAAUGAUAGCAAAUGUACUAAGUUAGAAAUCUUUUAGGUUAAACAUAAAUAGCAUAUACAGAACAUAUGUUUGGUAAGCAUAGAUUAAAAGAAUGGAAAUACCAAGUGUGCUACUUGUAGAUAGGAAAGGAUAGAAGGACCAAGUAAACCUAAAAUAUUAGUAAAAUCACAGA